UAUGUGAUCGUCUCUCGCAUAUCAAUAAGCGGAGGAAAAGAAACUAACAAGGAUUCCCCUAGUAACGGCGAGUGAAGCGGGAAGAGCUCAAAUUUGAAAUCUUAAAGGGUUUCCCUUUACGAAUUGUAGUUUAAAGAAGUGUUUUCUGUUGAGGUUUUGGUAAAAGUUCUUUGGAAUAGGACAUCAUAGAGGGUGAGAAUCCCGUAUUUGACCUUUACUUUCAACUUUGUGAUACACUUUCAAAGAGUCGGAUUGUUUGGGAAUGCAGUCCAAAAUGGGUGGUAAAUUUCAUCUAAAGCUAAAUAUUGGCGAGAGACCGAUAGCGAACAAGUACCGUGAGGGAAAGAUGAAAAGAACUUUGAAAAGAGAGUUAAACAGUACGUGAAAUUGUCAAAAGGGAAGCGUUUGACACCAGUGUUGUUUUUCUGAAAAUCAAUUAAAGAACUGUUUAUGCUAAGCUGUUUAGACUUUAUCAGCUAAUCUGUUUAGUUUUGAGCUUUUCUUUAAUGCACUUUUCAGUUAACAAGUCAACAUCAAUUUCUUUUGCUGUAAAAAAGCUUGAGGAAGGUGGCUUGAGAUUCGUCUUAAGUGUUUAUAGCCUCUUGCCUAUGCAGUCGGAGAGAUUGAGGUCUGCAGCGUAGAUCCUUCGGGGCUAAAUGCAUUUGUGCUAAGUUAUAGCAUUUUAUAGACAACUUGUUGACUAUGAUUUGUCUUGUAGCUUACUCGCUUAUGUUAUUUUACCUACGCUUAGGAUGUUGAAGACUCUACAGAGAUA
rnacentral:rRNA from 1 species